rnacentral:rRNA from 1 species
GACGAACGCUGGCGGCGUGCCUAACACAUGCAAGUCGAACGAAGAAUGUUUUUCGGAAUAUUCUUAGUGGCGGACGGGUGAGUAACGCGUGAACAAUCUGCCCCGUACAAAGGGAUAGCCUCGGGAAACCGGGAUUAAAACCAUAUAACGCUUAACUGCCGCAUGGUAGUGAAGUCAAAUCGAUUAAGAGGUAUGGGAUGAGUUCGCGUCUGAUUAGCUAGUUGGUGAGGUAAGGGCUCACCAAGGCGACGAUCAGUAGCCGGCCUGAGGAGGGUGAACGGCCACACUGGAACUGAGACACGGUCCAGACUCCUACGGGAGGCAGCAGUGGGGAAUAUUGCACAAUGGAGGGAACUCUGAUGCAGCGACGCCGCGUGAGUGAAGAAGGUCUUCGGAUCGUAAAACUCUGUCCUUGGUGAAGAAAGGACGGUAGCCAAGGAGGAAGCCCCGGCUAACUACGUG